AAGGCCGACGAUACAGGGUGAUAGUCCCGUAGUUGACGACGUGUGUUCAGUGAAAUCGAGUAGGGCGGGACACGUGAUAUCCUGUCUGAAUAUGGGGGGACCAUCCUCCAAGGCUAAAUACUACUGACUGACCGAUAGUGAACCAGUACCGUGAGGGAAAGGCGAAAAGAACCCCUGUGAGGGGAGUGAAAUAGAACCUGAAACCGUGUACGUACAAGCAGUAGGAGCAGGCUUUGUCCUGUGACUGCGUACCUUUUGUAUAAUGGGUCAGCGACUUAUAUUCAGUGGCAAGGUUAACCAUCUAGGGGAGCCGUAGGGAAACCGAGUCUUAACUGGGCGUUCAGUCUCUGGAUAUAGACCCGAAACCAGGUGAUCUAGCCAUGGGCAGGUUGAAGGUUGAGUAACAUCAACUGGAGGACCGAACCGACUAAUGUUGAAAAAUUAGCGGAUGACUUGUGGCUAGGGGUGAAAGGCCAAUCAAACCUGGAGAUAGCUGGUUCUCCCCGAAAGCUAUUUAGGUAGCGCCUCGGACGAAUACUACUGGGGGUAGAGCACUGUUAAGGCUAGGGGGUCAUCCCGACUUACCAACCCUUUGCAAACUCCGAAUACCAGUAAGUACUAUCCGGGAGACACACGGCGGGUGCUAACGUCCGUCGUGGAGAGGGAAACAACCCAGACCGCCAGCUAAGGUCCCAAAUUACUACUAAGUGGGAAACGAUGUGGGAAGGCUCAGACAGCCAGGAUGUUGGCUUAGAAGCAGCCAUCAUUUAAAGAAAGCGUAAUAGCUCACUGGUCGAGUCGGCCUGCGCGGAAGAUGUAACGGGGCUAAGUAGUAAACCGAAGCUGCGGCAAUGCACUUUUAGUGCAUUGGGUAGGGGAGCGUUCUGUAAGCGGUUGAAGGUGUGUGGUAACGCAUGCUGGACGUAUCAGAAGUGCGAAUGCUGACAUG
rnacentral:rRNA from 1 species